rnacentral:misc_RNA from 1 species
GUGUGGAAGGGCCAUCUGAAGAAGAUUCAUGCUAUCAAUUGAAUAACAACAGUUGGCUUUGUGGGGAUCAGAGGAACUUCUCAUCAAUGGGUUCGUCCUGUAAUUUGAUGACUCCAAAUGAAUGGGAAAGAUGCAAUUUCACUCCUCUAUCUUGGGGUGGUAGAACCGUGGGCCGGAGAGAAGUCAAAAGUUGCCUAAAUGCUCAUUCAGGUGUAAGUAGAGAAGAUUAUGAUGCCUUUGCCAACAUUUUUGAGGGUGGCUCACUUUUAUAUUGUAACAUGUCAUUUGAUGCACUUCUUAGUGUGAGAAAGCAACUUGAAGAAAUGGGGUUCCCUUGCAAAGCUGUGAAUGACGGGUUGUGGCUACAGAUUCUCAUAAGCCAG